rnacentral:lncRNA from 1 species
CUCCCCCCAUAACCCUUAUAACCCUAUAAUAACCCCUAUACCCCCAUAAUAUCCCCUAUACCCCCAUAAUACCCUAUAUCCCACAUAAUACCCCCCUAUACCCCUUAAUAACCCCAUAAUACCCUAUAUCCCACAUAAUACCCCCUAUACCCCAUAAUACCCCCAUAAUACCCUAUAUCCCCCAUAAUACCCCCCUAUACCCCAUAAUACCCCCUAUACCCCAUAAUACACCCUAUACCCCCCAUAAUACCCCAUAUACCCCCAUAAUACCCCCUAUACCCACAUAAUACCCCCCUAUACCCCCCCUAUACCUCCCUAAUACCCCCUAUACCCCACUCUGGGUCCCUAUGGGGACACUGGGGUCCCUUUAUGGGGUCUGGGGGGGGUAUAUAUGGGAUGGAUAAAGGGGGGGGACACUGUGGGUUCAUGUCCCCAAGGGCCACCACCUCCUUGGGUCAUGUCCAUAGGGGAUAUGGGGUGGGAUAUGGGGACACCCCACUGCGUGUCCCCAUAGGGCCACCAGUGUCCAUAGGGGGACAUGGGGACAGAUAUGGGGUCACUGUGACUCUAUAGGGGAUAUGGGGACAGAUAUGGGGUCACUGUGACUCCAUAUGGGGACAUGGGGACAGAUAUGGGGUCACUGUGACUCCAUAGGGGGAUAUGAGGACAGAUAUGGGGUCACUGUGACUCCAUAGGGGGAUAUGGGGACAGAUAUGGGGUCACUGUGACUCCAUGUCCCCAUAGGGCCACCAGUGUCCAUAGGGGGAUAUGGGGAUAUGGGGGGGAUAUGGGGACACCCCACUGCAUGUCCCUAUGGGCCACCAGUGUCCAUAGGGGGAUAUGGGGAUAUGGGGGGGAUAUGGGGACACCCCAAGGGUCCUUCAGUGUCCAUAAGGGAUAUGGGGACCCCAAGGACCCCCAUCUCCAUGUCCAUAAGGGAUAUGGGGACCCCAAAGGACCCCAAGGACCCCCAUCUCCAUGUCCAUAAUGGAUAUGGGGACAUAGGGGGGGACAUGGGGACACCCCAAGGGUCCUUCAGUGUCCAUAAGGGACAUGGGACCCCGAAGGGACCCAAGGACCCCUCUAAUGUCCCAUAGAUGGAUAUGGGGACCCCAAGGGAGCCCCUAAGGACCCCCAUCUCCAUGUCCAUAAUGGACACAGGGACACAGACUGAUGGUGUGUGAUGGGGGGUGAGGUUAUAAUUGGGGUGGGGGUCCCCUGUUGGGGGGGUUAUGGGGCAGGGAUGGGACGAGGACCCACCUGGCUCGUCACCUGAGGCCGGGGGUCCGGAGCGCGCUACCUGACGUAACAGCUCUAGGAUCGAAAGAGGAAAGGGGGGGUCAGCGCCCGCCGUCCAUCUUUACAGGGGGGGC